AAAAAAAAAAAAAACUGAUAAAAAAAAAAAAAAAAUAAAAAAAAAAAAAAAAAAAAGAAAAAAAAACCAAAAAAAAAAAAAAAAAAAAAAAAAAAAAAAAAAAAAAAAAAAAAAAAAAAAAAAAAAACAAAAAAAAAAAAAAUAAAAAAAAAAAAAAAAAAAAAAAAAAAAAAAAAAAAAAAAAAAAAAAAAAAAAAAAAAAAAAAAAAAAAAAAAUAAACAAAAAAAAAAAACAAAAAAAAAAAAAAAAAAUAAAAAAAAAGAAAAAAAAAGUCUCAGGCCCGAAAAAAAAAAAAAAAAAACAAAAAAAAAAAAAAAAAAAAAAAAAAAAAAAAAAAAAAAAAAAAAAAAAAAAAAAAAAAAAAAAAAAAAAAAAAUAAAAUAAACGGGAAAU
rnacentral:lncRNA from 1 species